rnacentral:rRNA from 1 species
UACGGAGGGUGCAAGCGUUAAUCGGAAUUACUGGGCGUAAAGCGCACGCAGGUGGCUGAGUCAGUCGAUUGUGAAAGCCCUGGGCUUAACCUGGGAAUUGCAGUCGAUACUACUCAGCUAGAGUAUGGGAGAGGGCAGUGGAAUUCCUGGUGUAGCGGUGAAAUGCGCAGAUAUCAGGAGGAACACCGGUGGCGAAGGCGGUUCUCUGGGCCUUACCUGACACUGAGGAGCGAAAGCGUGGGGAGCGAACAGG